rnacentral:rRNA from 1 species
UACGUAGGGGGCGAGCGUUGUCCGGAUUUAUUGGGCGUAAAGAGCGUGUAGGCGGCCAGGUAGGUCAGCUGUGAAAACUCGAGGCUCAACCUCGAGACGUCGGUUGAAACCACCUGGCUAGAGUCCGGAAGAGGAGAGUGGAAUUCCUGGUGUAGCGGUGAAAUGCGUAGAUAUCUGGAGGAACACCGGUGGCGAAGGCGGCAUCCUGGACCAACACUGACGCUGAGUGAGCGAAAGCCAGGGGAGCAAACGGG